GAGCUCUGACUAUGCAUAUCAUUUGUAUAGCUGCAGUCUGAGUAUAUUUUACUCAUUGCUUCUGUCUUCAGAUCAGAAGGAAGCAAGAAAUGCUGCUCUUCUCAUCUUUUGGUUCCAGAUUCUUCUUGGACUUCAUUACUGUUUGUAGGCAUAGUAUGUUACGUUCCUCUGAGUGUCCUACUUCACAGGACUGAACUGUGUGAUUUCCACGUGCAUCCUUGUACUAGAGUUCUAUGCAAUAACAAACAUCUGCUGUGAGUGAUGAAAGAGGGAUUGCUAUAACAUGUAUAUGCUGGCACCAUAUAUUACUUGAGAUAGGAUGAGCCAUGUAAUCAGAGAAACAAAAAAUGCAACUUAAGUUUCAAGUCUAAUGCUAUCCUUGUUCCAGCCUUCCUCCAGUGUCUGAAUUGGAUCCUAAGUUAUUGCAGGAUCAGUGUGGAUCCCAGGACUUUGGUCAGGAUAUACAAAGGAUAUACAUUUGUUCUUGAUGGCAGCUUUUGAAAUCCUUGGUAUAUUUAUGAACCUCCUUUUUAAUCUUUAAUUCCUGUCAUCAGAAAUUUCCUGUCUCAUUGAUUUGUACAUUAUCUUUGCACAAAAUGUAAAAAAAAAAGCUAUAAAACUAUGUAAAAGGUACUGAACUGUCUUCUUUAGCAUUAUGAGAUGUUUCAGCACACAAUGAGAAUGCGGCUCCAUUUACCAAAGGAAGAUUUCAGCAAUUCACUUACCAGGCUGCUUGCAAAUGUCAGUCCUCUGAGCAAUAAUAAGGCAACAAGUAGGCUGAGAACAAAGCUGCUGAUAAUUCUGGUGCUACAAUUAAAGUAAAUAUGAGGGCCGUGAUGGGUAGGAGUAAGAGAUUUGUUUCUGCAAGGAAAAUAUUUGUGUCAGAAAAAGCAUCAGGCACUAUGAACUGAGCUGCUCACGAGCUACAUGUGCUUUUGAGAAGCAUGCUUGAAAACAAUAGCCUGAAAAUAGAAGAUAGUAUCCCAUGGGUUAUAGCGGACAUUUUGUGAGCCUCUGCAAUGUUCAGGUGGGAUCUGUUUUGUGCAGCCUUAUUGAUAAAGUCCAGAUGAAGCCUGGCUGGCUGCUAACUCUACAGCUGUCACAGAUUGAAGAGAUGGUGUUUUGUUAGGAAACUCAGGAGUUCAUGAUGACCUGGGAGAAGUUUGUCCCAGUGAGAAGCGAGUUGAUUUGCAUUUUUAGAGAAUCAUUACCCAGAAACCUGGGACUACUUGUGUGUGUUUGUACAGCUUUAGAACCAGUAUGCAGCAUGUCUGAAAAUAGUUUUACUUUUCAUAGGCUGCUUCCAUCAUAAGCUUAACAGUAUGCAUUAUUCAAAGGAGAACUGUUUUAGUUUACUUGAGUUUUGUCUAUGACGCAUCUGGCCUGCCCUUUAAAAGGCGUCAAUAAUUUUAAUGUAUGCAAAUACCCGUGAAGUUGCAUAAUUCUGAGUACAUGCACAAAGAGAGAGAUGAGCCUUGUGGUGUAUAAAUACCUUAGAAUAGAUGUGCAUACAUCAGAACUGGUUAUCUUGGGUACCCAGAAAGGGACAGUCUGAACUAAUUUGGAAAAAAUCAGUUGCAGAGAUAGUAGUUUCUCUGUAUUGGCAGUACAGCAACCUAGAUGUACAUGCAAGUAGUCCAUGGGGGAAUGUAUUAUUUGUACUUAUCAGGAACUAGCUUUGUGCACAUUAUAAAAUAAAUAAAAAGGCUGCAAUAAUGUUCUUAUAGUUUGUUGUUGCUGAUGUCUCUUCUGAAGCUGUUUAAACUAUUCUUUCACAUUCCCCUAUGGCUGUUGAACUCUCUCAAAUUAAGGAUAAAGUCAGGUAGAUUCAGUCCAUA